rnacentral:rRNA from 1 species
UUUUAAAAAUAAAAUAAUUUAAGGUGAGGAUAUAAAAUUAUAUGUAAAGUUUUUGUAUUAUAUAAAGAAAAAUUAUUUUUUUUAAACUGAAAAGGAAAAAUGAAAAUUUUAAAAUUUUAAAAUUGAAAAAGUACAAUUUAAGGUACCUUUUGCAUCAGGGUUUUUAGAAGAAAUUAAACUAGUUUAAUUUCCCGAAAUUAAAAUGAGCUAUUAAAAUAGUUUAUUUAUGUGGAAAGAUAAUUAAUAAUAUUUUGAUAGAAAUGAAAUUUUAUUCAUAUUUAACGAUAUCUGGUUAUAAUAUUUUGAUUUUAGGUCAAAAUUACAAAUUAUAAUUUUUAUAAAAAUUAUGUAGUUUUUUCUAUAAGGGAUAAGCUUGGUAGAAUUUCUUUAUGAUUUUAGUAUUAUUAAAAUAAGGAAUAAAAUUUUCUAAGUCUUUUUAAAAAGAAUUUUAAUUUUUUUAAAAUUAUGUAAGAUUUUUUUAUAAUUAAAUUAAUUUUUUUUUUUAAAAAAAUUAUUAAAAAAUUAGUAAAUUGAAAAUAUAAAUAUAAAAAAUUAAGGUUGAUUUUUCGGAAAGAAAAUUUAAUUAUAGGAAUUCGGCAAAUUAAUUUAGUUGACUGUUUAUCAAAAACAUUUCAUUUUGUUUUAUAAUAAAAUGUAUAAUCUGCUCAAUGAUUUUUAAAUUGCUGUGGUAUUUUGACUAUACGAAGGUAUUGAAAUAAGACUUUAAAUGAGUGCUAAGAGAAUGAUUGAACAAUUAGAAACUUUCUUUAAUUAAAUAAUUAAAUUUAAUUUUUUAAUGCAAAAUUUAAAAUAAAAUUUAGGGACAAGAAGACCCUAUGAAUUUUUUAUUUAUUUAAAUAUAAAUAAAAUUUUUAAAUAAAUUUGAUUGGGGCGAUGUAAAAAGAAUAAAUAUCUUUUUUUAUAAAAUUAAAUUAGUUCCGUUUAUAGCGAUUUUUUGAAAAAAAUACUCUAGGGAUAACAGCGUAAUAAUUUUGGAUAGUUCAUAUAGAUAAAAUAGUUUGCGACCUCGAUGUUGGAUUAGGAUACUUUUUUGAUGAAGAAGUUGAAAAAAGAAGUUUGUUCAACUUUUAAACUCCUACAUGAUCUGAGUUCAGACCGGCGUGAGCCAGGUUGGUUUCUAUCUUAAUUAAAAAUUAUAUUUUUUUAGUACGAAAGGAAUUAAAAAUAAAAAUAUUUUUUUUUGAAAAUUGGUUACAAUAUA